UACUGCUUUACUGAUGUCUUUUCUCCUUACGAGAACAGUGAGGCCCUAGAUAAGAGACAUGAUGUCCUGUAAUGCUGACCUGGCACAUACAGGAGUCUCAGAGUUUAAGCUAUGCCACUUUCAACAGCCUAUCACACACCUCCUUUAACUACUAAAAAUAGAGAAAAUAAGAAAAACUUUAAUUUCCUCUGUCUUCAUUUGCAGUGUCUGUUUAGAGGUGCUGAGGAACAAAGAAAUGGCAGGAAGCAUGAGGCAGAGAAAGAAAAAAAGAAAGACUGGAAUCAACAUAAUAGGUAUCUAAAUUCCUCCUGAAAAAGUGAGAGUAAACAGCAUUUCUAGAUUUUUGGAAAUAAAAUUUUAAAAACCUAAAGCAUGGGUCACUAAACUUCUCCAAUCAUUUUAAUCCUUCCUCUUCAAGAAGAAAAUUACUAUUAACAACUUAAGCUUCUGAAUUUGAACUGUUUUUUUAGCUAUUUCAUAAGUUUGUUUGGCUCACUUCAGUCAGCAGUUACCUUCUGUAUUGAUGGUAAUUUAUAAAAGCCUGAAUACAGCCAAGGCAAUCUGUUUCUAAGAAGAAAAUCCUAAACUUAAUUUAAGUUGCCUUCCCUGUUCUUCUCCCGGAAAAUAAUAGACACCAAACAAGGUCAGAAAGGCAAUAACGGCCCCAAAUGAAUCAGAUCCUGUCUGACAGGUAAGGAAUUUUAUCUGCUGGCAGGCAUUCUGUUCAGAAUGAUACCACAAUGCCAAAGAGUCACUAAUUCCUUCUCUAGUGUAGCAAAUGGAGCCCUGGCGACAUUAAAGAGCUAAUAGUAUUUUCAACGGUACUUUGUUUAUGCUCUGGGGAAGCUUGUGCACCAGACAAUAUUUCAGGGAACAUUUAUCAGAAAGUGAAGCCCAAUUCUUCAAACUACAUGCAUGAAUCAGGCCAGAUAAAACUUACAAUUGGAAGAAUCUUCUACAUCAGGAAAGAGAGAGCUUGUACCUCUCCCUGUACUUUUAAUCAGCUCAAAGAAGUGUUUCCCUCUCUUCACAGAUCAAAUUUUGAGGGGUAGGGGUACUGAGACAGAUUACAGAGCAUAUAAGAAAUGUUACCAAGGCACAAAUAAAUUAACUGGUAUUCUCUAUUAAUAGAUAAUAAUUUCAGUGAAAAUGAGAUAAGAAAUAAAUGGGGCAUUACUAUUAAAUGAAUUUUAACAGAGAGGUACAUUUUAUUUUCCUUCUUUAAGAAAGAACAUUUUAAGAGACAUACGUGUGUAGACAGCAGUUUUUGUCAUAGAAAGUUCAGAAACCUCACAUUCUCUUCUAGCUGUUAUCAGCUACAAUAAAUCUCCCUUCCAUUUCAUGCAUUUAGAAAAUACACUUUUAAUAUAGUGUAGUUAGCCUGAUGGUUCCCUACAAUAAGUAAAGAUUGAUAAUUGUAUUUUUAUCCAACUGGGAAGUCGGCACCUUUUUCUAGUAUUUUUAGUGGUUGAAGACCAUAUAGAAUAACAUGCCUCGUGUCUUAAGCAAUCUCUGUCAGUGAAGGCAUUUAUUUCUCUAGAUAUUGUCAAAAAGAAUACAGUGAUAAUCAGAUGACUUUUUUGUUCUAUUUGUUCAUAUAUCAGAAUGGAAUGAAAUAAUAGCUAAUCUUUAUUGUAUACUUAUUAUCCUCCAGGCACUGUGCUGUAUACUUUGUAUGUGUUCUCUCAUUCGAUUCCUCACCCUGCAAGGCAGGAACUAUUAACAUCCCCAUUUUAACAAAUGAGGCAUUUGAAGCUUAGGCUAAACAAUUUGCUUGGCAUGUCAGUGGUAGAACCAGAAUUGGAAUCUGGAGCCAACAUUCUUAACCACAGUGGUCCACCAUUUUCAUUUGUGACUGGCUUGCUAGUAUGCCUUCCCUUCCUCCCUUCCUUCCUUCCAAUAUGCAUCACUAGGCACCAGCAUUGUAUCAGGUGCUAGAGUAAAAUUGGUGAAUGGGGAAGAUAGAGUCAUUCUUCUCAAGAGCUGACAUUCUAUUAGGGGACAAAGUCGAGUAAACAAGCAGAUGCUAGGAUGCUAUUUGGAGACGAGACUAGAAGGGAAGAAGACUAAUGGCUAUGAGACCAGUCUGGAGACUGUCACAACAGAGUAAGCAAGAGCACCUUGCCAUAUGUUUCUUCAUGACUGAGAUGACUCUUUACAAUGGCACAUUUUCUUGUUUAUUUUCUCUCUUCCUGAAGGAGCUGUAAACUCCACAAAGGUCAUGUGGGACUUUUGCUUUCUGCAACAUAUAUCUGCAAUGUUUGAAUAUUUAAAUGCCACUUCCUUAUCAGAGAACAUAAUGAUAACAUUGGAAACAACUGCAGUUUUUAGUAAACAGGUCCCUUCAUCUUUGCUGAUAAAGAUCAACUACUUUUUAGAACUGAAUUUGAAUCAAUUCAAACUGAAUGCAUUUAGAGGCAAUUUGUAAGAUAACCUUAUGAUUUCUUAAAGUUGGAGUGGUUUAAUUUGUAUUUUUAGAAAGCUGAAUAAAAUUCUUGAAAAAUUUGUCCAUUAUUUUCUACAUCUGCUUAGAUAAAAUUCCCAUAGUCAAAGUUUCUAAGCUCUGUAUAUAUUUCUGAGAAACUAACUAUAGAGUUUUUAAAAGAAAGCCCAUUCGGUAAUGUAUGUUUGAACUUAUACAAACAAAAAACAAUUUCACCAAAAGUUCCCUUUGUUAGAUGUUGAAUCUUUAACUAUAAGAGGUCUACCAAUUAAGCACAGUUUAAGUACUUAAAAUAUGCUAGCUGCCCUUAGGUUCUGUUCUCCUGCUAAAAUGUGACUAGUCAACAGAUACCCAUCUAUUCCCCAUUUGGUACCAGGCACUAGAGAAAUGACAGUGAACAGAACAAACAAAAAUCUCUGCCCUCUUAGAGUUUAUAUUCUAGUAGGGGAAGAUGUAAUUUAAAAAAUAAGUAAGUACAUAGUAUUCUAGAAGUUGAAAGGACUUUGAAAAAAAACUAAAGAGCAAGGGCAAAAGGGAGUGCUUGGAAACUGUAAUUUUGAAUAUAGCAGCCCUCACUGAGAAAUAAGAUAACAUUAAGGUAAAAAUGUGAAGGAGGUAUAAUAUAUUUGGAAUACUAACUUGAAGGAGGUGAUAUGGAUAUCUGGAGGAUAUCCUAGGCAGAGAAAAUAGCUUCUCGACCCAAGCCCUAAGACUGGACCUCAUCUUGUGUUUAAGAAUAGCAAGGAUGCUACUGGAGUGGUUACUGCAAGGCAUCAAGUGGGAAAACAGUAGAAUAAAAGGUUGAAGAGGUAAUGGUGGGCCAAAGUAUGUAGAGCCUAAUGGGCUUUUUUAAGGACUUUGGCUAAUUUUCUAAGUGUAGUGAAAAAGAUACUGGAACAUUUAAAAAAAAAAUGAUUUACAUCUUUAAAGGAUCACGGCAGCUCACAUGUUAAAAACAGACUAUAGGCGGACAAGGGUGGGAACAAGGAAGCCAGUAACUGUAAGGUUAGAAAUGAUGGUAUCUUCGAUUAAGAUGAUUACAGUGGAGGUAGUAAGAAGUGAUCAGGUUGUUGAUGUAUUUCAAAGGAAGAAUGAAUACGAUUUCCUAACAGACUUGAUGUUGGGUAUGAUAGAAAGAGGCAGCAAAGAUGAUUCAAAUAUUUUUAGAAAGGAAAUAUCCCAUUUAAUGAGAUGGGAAGAUUAUGGGCUGAGGUGAUUCAGGAGGAAAGAUCAGGGAUUUGGGUUGAGAAACAUGAUCUGUAAUGUCUAUUAGACAUAGACACAGAAUGGAGAUGGCUAGUAGGCAGUUGAAUAUGUGCUUUAGGAGCUUGGAGGAAGGUCCAGCCCAGAGAUAUAUACAUGUGUUAUUAGUUCAUAGAGUUGUUAGCAUGUAGAUGGUUGAUUAUCGAGGGUAUGUAAGGAAAGAAAGAUAAGAUAUUGUAUAGCUCCACUAAAUAUACUAUAAACAAAUGUUACUGAGUAUUAAUGUGCACCUGGGUCUGAAAUUCUGCUGCAUUUUAAAUUAAGACAUAAAAGUAUUGAAAAAUCUACAAUUCUAAAUACAGAAUGGAUACAGUGAUGCCUUGCUAUAAUGACAUCCUUGAGGUUCAUGCUACACUAGUGCUUGAGUCUAGUCAUCUUUGAAUCCUUGGUUCAUAGCACAAUGCUUGGCAGAGUAGACACUUUGUAAAUAAUUUUGAAUUUGAUGAAUGAAGGGAAAGUAUUUAUGAUAUUAAAGAAUUUGCAGGUUAUGUUUUCCUUGACCAAUGAUACCAUACUUGCCUUUUAAAUGCCUAACAGGCCUCAUCCACUCAGCACAUAGUAACUAAGGAGGCAUUCUGAGUGUAAGCUUUCAAGUUCUAAAAGUGAAACAUAUGCUUGGCCUGACCAAUAAAUGCACGGCUAAAGGCCAUAUAAAGUGGUAUCUUUCCAGUUUUGUAAUAAGCAGACAAAUGAUUUAAUACAGAAAAUGGUAAAGAAUCCUUGGGUCAAGGGCUAUAUAUUUAUAUCAUCUCACCAAUAGAACAGCCUCUAAAUUCUUUUAUUUGGCUACAUAUCAGGGCUAGAUGUCAGAACCAUGAAAACUAUUUGGCAGAAACAAGACAGAGGGAACAGGGGUGGUUCUCUGAGAGAUGGUUAUAAUCUAUCUCACUUGCCACAGCUAAGAUCUUACUUGGCUUGAUAUACAUAUAUACCAAGGAUAUGAUACUGUUCUUUCUCAUUACUUUGUACAGUGACCCAGUCAGCCAGAGGCAUCUAUUUGCCUAGGGCAGGAGUUCUCAAGCUUUUUGGUCUCAGGACCUCUUUAUACUCUUGGAAAUUACUGAGGUCCCCAAAGAGAUUUUAUUUAUGUGCGCUAUACCUACUGAUUUUACCAUAUUAAAAAUUAAAACUGAGAUAUUUUAAAAUACAAGAAUACAUAAGCAAAUAAAUAAGAUGUCACAGCAACAGAGUCAUUAAAUGUUAUGAAGUAUCUGGAAAACUCCACUGUAUACUUGUGAGACAUUAAGAGUGAAAAAGACAAAUAUUGCCUUAUGGUUUUUAUGAAAAUCAUUUUGACCUCACAGACUCUCUGAAAGGGUUUUUAGGAUUUUGGGGGAUAUCUUAACCACACAUUGAGAACUGAUGGCCUAAGGGAAGAAUAGGAUUGUUACAACAGAACUGCAAAAAGAGUCAAUAUUUAGAUUUUGACUACCAAAAUAGCAGCUUUUGAGCCUCUGGAGAAAAAAAGGUAUAGUCAGGUUUUUCUGAGAAUGAAAAAAAAAUCCUUAAAUUCCUACAAUUCUAUUUAUAUAUUAAAAGCAAAACCCGGGGAUCUGAACAAACUUUACUUUAAAUUAGAGAGAACUGGAAUAAGGAUGUCAGGCUAUCUCUGCAGGCCCUGAGAAGGCUUGGGGCAAGGAGAAGGCAUUAGAAACCCAAGGAGGAAAGAAGAGACCCAAUGCCAGUCACCUUGACUAUUUCUCCUGGCCUCAAUCUCGGGGUCCAACCUGAAGGGAGACAGCACUGAAAACACAGACACUGAAGAAGCUGGUGGGAAGGCAGAGUACCAAGGGAACCUAU